rnacentral:lncRNA from 1 species
AUGGGGACCCCUCUCAGCCCAGUAGUAGCAAAUUUCUAUAUGGAAUACUUUGAAAAACAGGCCCUAGAAACAGCACCAAAAAAGCCAACUGUUUGGUUCAGAUACGUAGAUGACACCUUCACAAUUUGGAGCCAUGGAGAGGAAGAACUCAGCAAGUUCCUGGACCAUCUUAACAGCAUCCACCCAAACAUCCAAUUCACCAUGGAAAAAGAAAAGGAAGGAAAACUGCCAUUUCUAGCUGUUCUGGUCAUUCGCAAACACAAUCAACAAUUGGGCCACACAGUUUACAGAAAACCUACACACACAGAUAGAUACCUUCAUAAAAACUCCAACCAUCACCCAAGUCAAAAAAGGAGCACAAUCAAAGCCCUGGCAGACCGUGCACAAAGAAUCUGCGAACCUCACCUCCUCCAAGGUGAACUCAACCACCUAAACUGGGCUCUACAGGCCAAUGGAUACUCCACCACAGACAUCAGAAGAGCUGCAAGGCCAAGAACAAGCCAUGAGAGUCAAGACAAAGAUCCACCCAGAGGAAAGGUGCUCUUACCAUACAUCAAGGGAACUACUGACCGCAUAGGCAAAGUGAUGAAGAAGCACAACCUACAAACUAUCUACAGGCCCACAAAGAAAAUCCAACAAAUGCUACGGUCAGCGAAGGACAAGAGGGAUCCUCUUUCUUCUGCAGGAGUCUACUGGAUACCAUGCAGCUGUGGACAAGUCUACAUAGGGACCACCAAACGCAGCGCCCAAACAAGAGUCAAAGAACAUGAAAGGCACUGCAGACUAAUUCAACCAGAGAAAUCAGCCAUAGCAGAGCAUUUGAUGAACCAGCCUGGACACAAGAUACUAUUUGAGAACACAAAAAUGCUGGACCAUUCCAACAACUAUCAUGUCAGACUACACAGAGAAGCCAUUGAAAUCCACAAGCAUGUGGACAACUUUAACAGAAAGGAAGAAACCAUGAAAAUGAACAAAAUCUGGCUAGCAGUAUUACAAAACUCCAAAAUCAAAACAGUAGAUGGGAACCAACACAAUGAAGGUUUGACUGAACAAAGGAUGCCCCCAGGCAAGGGACAAAACAUCUCCAAUGCUAAUUAG